rnacentral:rRNA from 1 species
UACGUAGGUUCCAAGCGUUAUCCGGAUUCACUGGGUUUAAAGGGUGCGUAGGCGGAAUGACAAGUCAGUGGUGAAAACCUGCAGCUCAACUGUAGAAUUGCCAUUGAUACUGUUAUUCUUGAGUGUAUUUGAUGUGAGUGGAAUGUGUCGUGUAGCGGUGAAAUGCUUAGAUAUGACACAGAACACCUAUUGCGAAGGCAGCUCACAAAACUACAACUGACGCUGAGGCACGAAAGCGUGGGGAUCAAACAGG